rnacentral:rRNA from 1 species
UGGCGGCGUGGAUAAGACAUGCAAGUCGAACGGGAGAAUUGCUAGCUUGCUAAUAAUUCUCUAGUGGCGCACGGGUGAGUAACACGUGAGUAACCUGCCUCUUAGUGGGGGAUAGCCCUGGGAAACCGGGAUUAAUACCGCAUACGAUUGAAAGAUCAAAGCAGCAAUGCGCUAGGAGAUGGGCUCGCGGCCUAUUAGUUAGUUGGUGAGGUAACGGCUCACCAAGGCGAUGACGGGUAGCCGGUCUGAGAGGAUGUCCGGCCACACUGGAACUGUGACACGGUCCAGACACCUACGGGUGGCAGCAGUCGAGAAUCAUUCACAAUGGGGGCAACCCUGAUGGCGCGACGCCGCGUGGGGGAAUGAAGGUCUUCGGAUUGUAAACCCCUGUCAUGUGGGAGCAAAUUAAAAAGAUAGUACCACAAGAGGAAGAGACGGCUAACUCUGUGCCAGCAGCCGCGGUAAUACAGAGGUCUCAAGCGUUGUUUGGAAUCACUGGGCGUAAAGCGUGCGUAGGCUGUUUCGUAAGUCGUGUGUGAAAGGCAGGGGCUCAACCCCUGGAUUGCACAUGAUACUGCGAGACUAGAGUAAUGGAGGGGGAACCGGAAUUCACGGUGUAGCA